GACGAACGCUGGCGGCGUGCUUAACACAUGCAAGUCGAACGGAAAGGCCCUGCUUUUGUGGGGUGCUCGAGUGGCGAACGGGUGAGUAACACGUGAGUAACCUGCCCUUGACUUUGGGAUAACUUCAGGAAACUGGGGCUAAUACCGGAUAGGAGCUCCUGCUGCAUGGUGGGGGUUGGAAAGUUUCGGCGGUUGGGGAUGGACUCGCGGCUUAUCAGCUUGUUGGUGGGGUAGUGGCUUACCAAGGCUUUGACGGGUAGCCGGCCUGAGAGGGUGACCGGCCACAUUGGGACUGAGAUACGGCCCAGACUCCAACGGGGGGCAGAGGGGGGGAAUAUUGCAAAAGGGGGGGAAGCUGGAUGCAGCAACGCCGGGGGGGGGAGGACGGCCUUGGGGUGGUAAACCGUUUUCCCGUGGAACGAGGCGUGGGGGAGGGAAAGGGGAAAAAAAGCACCGGCAAACUAGGG
rnacentral:rRNA from 1 species